UACGGAGGGUGCGAGCGUUGUCCGGAAUCGCUGGGCGUAAAGGGCGCGUAGGCGGCCUGAUAAGUAGGGGGUGAAAUCCUGCGGCUUAACCGCAGGGCUGCCUUCUAAACUGUCAGGCUCGAGCACAGUAGAGGCAGGUGGAAUUCCCGGUGUAGCGGUGGAAUGCGUAGAGAUCGGGAAGAACAUCAGUGGCGAAGGCGGCCUGCUGGGCUGUUGCUGACGCUGAGGCGCGACAGCGGUGGGGAGCAAACAGG
rnacentral:rRNA from 1 species